CAGGAGGUAGUUUAUUUAAAAUGUUAAUUUUGGAGGUUAAUGAUGAGGUUUAUUCUUUCUUCUGA
rnacentral:tRNA from 1 species